AUUGAACGCUGGCGGCAGGCCUAACACAUGCAAGUCGAGCGGAUGAGUGGAGCUUGCUCCAUGAUUCAGCGGCGGACGGGUGAGUAAUGCCUAGGAAUCUGCCUGGUAGUGGGGGACAACGUUUCGAAAGGAACGCUAAUACCGCAUACGUCCUACGGGAGAAAGCAGGGGACCUUCGGGCCUUGCGCUAUCAGAUGAGCCUCGGUCGGAUUAGCUAGUAGGUGAGGUAAUGGCUCACCUAGGCGACGAUCCGUAACUGGUCUGAGAGGAUGAUCAGUCACACUGGAACUGAGACACGGUCCAGGCUCCUACGGGAGGCAGCAGUGGGGAAUAUUGGACAAUGGGCGAAAGCCUGAUCCAGCCAUGCCGCGUGUGUGAAGAAGGUCUUCGGAUUGUAAAGCACUUUAAGUUGGGAGGAAGGGCAGUAAGUUAAUACCUUGCUGUUUUGACGUUACCAACAGAAUAAGCACCGGCUAACUUCGUGCCAGCCGCCGCGGUAAAAC
rnacentral:rRNA from 1 species